GAUGAACGCUGGCGGCGUGCCUAAUACAUGCAAGUCGAGCGAACGGACGAGAAGCUUGCUUCUCUGAUGUUAGCGGCGGACGGGUGAGUAACACGUGGAUAACCUACCUAUAAGACUGGGAUAACUUCGGGAAACCGGAGCUAAUACCGGAUAAUAUUUUGAACCGCAUGGUUCAAUAGUGAAAGACGGUCUUGCUGUCACUUAUAGAUGGAUCCGCGCUGCAUUAGCUAGUUGGUAAGGUAACGGCUUACCAAGGCAACGAUGCAUAGCCGACCUGAGAGGGUGAUCGGCCACACUGGAACUGAGACACGGUCCAGACUCCUACGGGAGGCAGCAGUAGGGAAUCUUCCGCAAAGGGCGAAAGCCUGACGGAGCAACGCCGCGUGAGUGAUGAAGGUCUUCGGAUCGUAAAACUCUGUUAUUAGGGAAGAACAAAUGUGUAAGUAACUAUGCACAUCUUGACGGUACCUAAUCAGAAAGCCACGGCUAACUACGUG
rnacentral:rRNA from 1 species